UACGUAGGGUGCAAGCGUUGUUCGGAAUUACUGGGCGUAAAGGGCGCGUAGGCGGGCCUGUAUGUCGAUUGUGAAAGCCCUGGGCUUAACCCGGGAAUGGCAGUCGAAACUGCAGGUCUUGAGUGCCUGAGAGGAUGGCGGAAUUCCCGGUGUAGAAGUGAAAUUCGUAGAUAUCGGGAAGAACACCUGAGGCGAAGGCGGCUAUCUGGCGGUGCACUGACGCUGAGGCGCGAAAGCGUGGGGAGCAAACAGG
rnacentral:rRNA from 1 species